AUCACAGGCAGGGACGCGAAGGACUUCUCUGGGGACCGGCUUCUUAGCGGCUCAGAGAGUCUUUCUCCGGUGCUGACGACCUGAGUUUAUCCCACACUCCAGGAAACCAAGGACAUCCGAAGACGGCGCCCUCUUUAAUUUAGUUGAAUUAAGAGUUCCAGCUGAGACCAAAACAGCUCCCUCGGCCACCUCCCAACCGCAUUGGGCCGGUGCUAGGCAUUUCACACCCACCCUCACUGAUCCUCGGAAGAGCCCAUUUUACAGAUGGGGGCACCAAGGCACACACAGGCUCACCAGCUUCCAGAUUUGUAUGCCCAGGUGUCGUGGUGGAAAGCCCAUCACCCAUAAGCACAGAAGGCAUGUGAAAUGCCAGGC